rnacentral:rRNA from 1 species
AACGUUGGCGGCGUGGCUAAUGCAUGCAAGUCGUGCGGACAUCAUUUUGUAGCACUACGUUUUGAUGUUAGCGGCAAACGGGUGCGUAACACAUUGGUAAUCUACCCUCCAGUCGGGCAUAACUCACCGAAAGGUGAGCUAAUUCCACGAUAGGCAUGCGGGGACAUAUGUCAUUCGCAUGUAAAGCGCUAAAACGCGCUGGACGAGGAGCCUAUGGGCCAUCAGCUUGUUGGCGGGGUAAAAGCCCACCAAGGCUACGACGGGUAGGGGGUGUGAGAGCAUGACCCCCCUCACUGGGACUGAGACACUACCCAGACACCUACGGGUGGCUGCAGUUACGAAUAUUCCUCAAUGGGCGAAAGGCUGAAGGAGCGACGCCGCGUGCGGGAUGAAGGGCUUCGGCUUGUAAACCGCUUUUAUUUGGGAAGAACGAUGACGGUACCAAAUGAAUAAGAGGUUGCUAACUCUGUGCCAGCAGCAGCGGUAAUACAGAGACCUCAAACGUUAUCCGGAUUUAUUGGGCGUAAAGGGUCCGUACGCGGCCAUGCGCGUCGUGGGUUAAAUGUUAGGGCUCAACUCUGACACCGCUCACGAUACGGCGUGGCUAGAGUCCGGGAGAGGCACAUGGAAUUGCCGGUGUAGGGGUAAUAUCCGUUAAUAUCGGCAGGAACGCCAAAUGCGAAAGCAAUGUGCUGGAACGGUACUGACGCUCAGGGACGAAAGCGUGGGGAGCGAAAGGGAUUAGAUACCCCUGUAGUCCACGCCCUAAACGAUGGAUGCUAGAUAUUGGGAGUAUCGACCCUCCCAGUGUCGGUGAAAAAAGCUAACGCAUUAAGCAUCCCGCCU